rnacentral:misc_RNA from 1 species
GAAAAAAUGCCUGAACCAAACGAAAAACAAUAACCAGAAGUGCUUUUGUAAUCAUCCAAACAUCCACCCCAAUCACUAUCUAAAUAGCCAAUAAGAUAUCCAUUCUCCACAUUUUUUCUAUACCAGAUUCCAUAAUUAAUCGUCCAUCAAAUAUACCUUAACACCCUUUUAGCGGCUCCAAAAUGCUUAGUGUUGGGACUUUGCAUAUAUCGAGAUAGCAAACUGACAGUGAACAUUAUGUCGGGCCUAGAAGCUGCUAGAUACAAUAGACUUCCAAUUAGACUUCUAUAAACUUUUGGAUCUGCCCUCUCUUUGCCAUCAUCCUUCAUUAAUUUUUCAUUCACAACUAGUGGAGUUGGAACAACUUUGCACUUGUCAAGCAUGAAACUUUUUAACAGAUUCAAGGCAUACCUCUUUCGG